AGUCAAGAAAUUGGCUAAGUGAUUGUUUCCAUAUUCGGGGAAACCUAGGUUGAGGAUAAUAAACAUAGUAGGUAAUCCUGAGCCAAAUUUUGUUUGUUUUACAAAAUAGGUGCAGAGACUCAAAGGAAACUAUCCAAACAAAAAUAAAUUUAUUAAUUAUUAGUUCGUUCUAAUAUGAAUUUUAUAUAUACAUAUAAAUAUAUAAAUGACAUAAGGAUAAAGAUAGAGUCCAUUUUUACACGCUAUAUUUGGCAACGAUGUAAGUCAUUGUAAAAAGAAAAUCCGUUGGCUUUUUAGACCAUGAGGGUUCAAGUCCCUCUACCCCCA
rnacentral:tRNA from 1 species